AGAGUUUGAUCAUGGCUCAGGAUGAACGCUGGCGGCGUGCUUAACACAUGCAAGUCGAACGGAGUUUAUAAGCGGAAGUCUUCGGACGGAAGUUUAUGAACUUAGUGGCGGACGGGUGAGUAACGCGUGGGUAACCUGCCUUACACAGGGGGAUAACAGCCGGAAACGGCUGCUAAUACCGCAUAAGCGCACAGUGCUGCAUGGCACCGUGUGAAAAGAUUUUAUCGGUGUAAGAUGGACCCGCGUCUGAUUAGCUAGUUGGUGGGGUAAUGGCCUACCAAGGCAACGAUCAGUAGCCGGCUUGAGAGAGUGAACGGCCACAUUGGGACUGAGACACGGCCCAAACUCCUACGGGAGGCAGCAGUGGGGAAUAUUGCACAAUGGGGGAAACCCUGAUGCAGCGACGCCGCGUGAGUGAAGAAGUAUUUCGGUAUGUAAAGCUCUAUCAGCAGGGACGAAAAAAUGACGGUACCUGACUAAGAAGCCCCGGCUAACUACGUGCCAGCAGCCGCGGUAAUACGUAGGGGGCAAGCGUUAUCCGGAUUUACUGGGUGUAAAGGGAGCGUAGACGGUGAUGUAAGUCAGAUGUGAAAGCCCGGGGCUCAACCCCGGGACUGCAUUUGAAACUAUGUUGCUAGAGUGCAGGAGAGGUAAGUGGAAUUCCUAGUGUAGCGGUGAAAUGCGUAGAUAUUAGGAGGAACACCAGUGGCGAAGGCGGCUUACUGGACUGUAACUGACGUUGAGGCUCGAAAGCGUGGGGAGCAAACAGGAUUAGAUACCCCCGUAGUCC
rnacentral:rRNA from 1 species